GACGAACGCUGGCGGCGUGCUUAACACAUGCAAGUCGAACGGUGAACUCCGCUUGCGGGGGGAUCAGUGGCGAACGGGUGAGUAACACGUGGGCAACCUGCCCUCAGCUCUGGGAUAACUCCAAGAAAUUGGGGCUAAUACUGGAUAUGACUGCUGACCGCAUGGUCUGGUGGUGGAAAGAUUUAUCGGCUGGGGAUGGGCCCGCGGCCUAUCAGCUUGUUGGUGGGGUAGUGGCCUACCAAGGCGACGACGGGGAGCCGGCCUGAGAGGGUGACCGGCCACACUGGGACUGAGACACGGCCCAGACUCCUACGGGAGGCAGCAGUGGGGAAUAUUGCGCAAUGGGCGGAAGCCUGACGCAGCGACGCCGCGUGGGGGAUGACGGCCUUCGGGUUGUAAACCUCUUUCACCCAUGACGAAGCGUAAGUGACGGUAGUGGGAGAAGAAGCACCGGCCAACUACGUGCCAGCAGCCGCGGUAAUACGUAGGGUGCAAGCGUUGUCCGGAAUUAUUGGGCGUAAAGAGCUCGUAGGCGGUUUGUUGCGUCGGCUGUGAAAACCUGAGGCUCAACCUCAGGCCUGCAGUCGAUACGAGCAGACUAGAGUGUUGCAGGGGAGACUGGAAUUCCUGGUGUAGCGGUGAAAUGCGCAGAUAUCAGGAGGAACACCGGUGGCGAAGGCGGGUCUCUGGGCAGCAACUGACGCUGAGGAGCGAAAGCGUGGGGAGCGAACAGGAUUAGAUACCCUGGUAGUCCACGCCGUAAACGUUGGGCGCUAGGUGUGGGGCUCAUUCCACGAGUUCCGUGCCGCAGCUAACGCAUUAAGCGCCCCGCCUGGGGAGUACGGCCGCAAGGCUAAAACUCAAAGGAAUUGACGGGGGCCCGCACAAGCGGCGGAGCAUGUUGCUUAAUUCGAUGCAACGCGAAGAACCUUACCUAGGCUUGACAUGCACGGAAAUCCUCCAGAGAUGGUGGGUCCGCAAGGGUCGUGCACAGGUGGUGCAUGGUUGUCGUCAGCUCGUGUCGUGAGAUGUUGGGUUAAGUCCCGCAACGAGCGCAACCCUCGUUCUAUGUUGCCAGCACGUGAUGGUGGGGACUCAUAGGAGACUGCCGGGGUCAACUCGGAGGAAGGUGGGGAUGACGUCAAAUCAUCAUGCCCCUUAUGUCUAGGGCUGCAAACAUGCUACAAUGGCCGGUACAAAGGGCUGCGAUACCGUGAGGUGGAGCGAAUCCCAAAAAGCCGGUCUCAGUUCGGAUUGGGGUCUGCAACUCGACCCCAUGAAGUUGGAGUCGCUAGUAAUCGCAGAUCAGCAACGCUGCGGUGAAUACGUUCCCGGGCCU
rnacentral:rRNA from 1 species